rnacentral:rRNA from 1 species
GGGAUCCKRAGUGCUCAUACUUUGCAUGGGCUUUUGCCAAGAGUAAAUACUUUGGCGAAUAAGUGGUGGGGAAAGACUGGUGCCAGCCGCCGCGGUAACACCAGCGCCACGAGUGGCAAACCAKGUUUAUUGGGCCUAAAGCGUCCGUAGCCGGUUARGUAAAUCUUUUGUGAAAUCGUCAGGCUUAACUUGACGUCGUGCAGAAGACACUGCUAAACUUGAGACCGGGAGGAGUCAGAGGUAUUCCAGGGGGAGCGGUAAAAUGUUAUAAUCCCUGGAGGAUUACCUGUGGCGAAGGCUUCUGACCAGAACGGAUCUGACGGUGAGGGACGAAAGCCAGGGGAGCGAUCCGGAUUAGAUACCCGAGUAGUCCUGGCCGUAAACGCUGCGAGCUAGGUGUUGCAUAUCUUAMGAGAAUGUGCAAUSUCGAAGCGAAGUSUUAAGCUCACCGCCUGGAAGCACGUUCGCAAGAUUUGAAACUUU